UCUUCUCCUUCUUCUGCUGCUUCCUUCUUCCUCCGGCACGGAUCUCCUAUUUGAUUUUCCGGCGAAGAUCAGAGACCUUAACCUUUUCCCUUCAGAAGAUGUCAACAUCGUUCGCCACCCUAAUUGCCACGCCAACAAACUCGUCGAGAAACCCCUCAGAUUCCCAAACUUGUUGCCUACACAGUCUGGCGUUUCACUCGACAAUUUGGCUCAUUCCGCUGGUUACUAUCCUAUCUCCCAUUCUAAUGCAGCCAGGUUUGCUUCUUUUUUUUUUUUUUUUAAAUAAAAAAUUGAUUGAAUGUAUAUGUUUUUCACUGUACCUUACGUUCAUGUCGAGUUAAAUGGUAAAACCCCAGCUUUAUUGUUGAUAGUAUCAUUUGUUGUUUAACCUUGUGUUUCUUUUCAGGAAAACAAAACAAGAAAAACAUUAACCCUUUCAGUUAUGGUUACGUUUGGCUAAACGACUUAUUUAAUACGCGAACAACGCUUAUGUUAUAUAGAUUGGCUUUAGCCUGUGGAGAAAACUUAAUUCAUUUUACCUCCAGAACUUGUAGAUAAGUUUUUAGUUGUUUUCAUAUGAGUUCUAAUUAGUUUCAUGAGCUAUUCUGGAGAGCUUAUUAAAUUAAUUAGAAACUAUUUUUUGGAGCACUUUAUAUUAGGAUGAAGAGGGGAAAAGAAAAUGGUUGAAUUAAAUAUUCUUAAUUCUUUUAUGUCGGUGAAAUAUGAUUGUUGCGGGGAAAAUGCUGCAAAUCCUUGGUAUGCAUUUGUUAUUUAUUUUUGGGUUUGGGUUGAAUGGUGCAGGAUGUUCUACUUUUUCUUUGAAUCACGGAACAGCAAGAAGGAUCCUGUUGUGAUUUGGUUAACCGGGGGACCUGGUUGUAGUAGUGAAUUGGCUGUGUUUUAUGAAAAUGGCCCUUUUAAGAUUGCUGACAAUAUGUCCCUUGUGUGGAAUGAUUAUGGUUGGGACAAGGUAAUCCUCAUACCAUUUGUUGCCUUUCAACUGCGCCUUUCCUACGUUAUGAUUAUCUUGUAUGAGGUCUUGAUAAAUUGCCUGGUGUCCUUUCAGGUGUCCAAUCUUCUCUAUGUUGACCAACCAACUGGAACUGGCUUUAGUUACAGUACGGACAAGCGUGACAUUCGUCAUGAUGAAGAAGGAGUGAGCAAUGACUUGUAUGACUUUUUACAGGUACUUGUGUUAGCUCAAAACACUCGUUAUACAACAUUAAUGCAGUGUCUACUUAUUUGGUUUCCUGACUUGUAUUUAUUGUUUCUUUUCUGGAACAGAAGCUGUAUCUCCUAUCUUUUUAUUCUCUAACACUUCUUAAUGGCUCUUCUUAGAAGACCAAAACUAAGCAAUGUGUCGUUAUCUUGAAUUUUGAUUUAAACACCUUGCUUAGCUUGAUCAGCAAUGUCUUGUCUUAGCAAAGUUUUCUGUUUAUCCUACAGGCUUUCUUUGCUGAACAUCCUGAGUAUGCAGAGAAUGACUUUUUCAUUACGGGUGAAUCAUAUGCUGGACAUUAUAUUCCAGCUUUUGCAGCUCGAGUCCAUAGGGGAAACAAAGCUAAAGAAGGGAUUCAUAUAAACCUAAAGGUUUGUUACAUUAAUAUGUGAGCUAUUCUUUCUUGAGUUUUAGAUAUACGAUGAAAGGUGAGUAGACUUGCUUGGCUAACUGGAAGUGGUUAAACAGGGAUUUGCCAUUGGUAAUGGGCUUACUGAUCCGGCGAUUCAGUAUAAAGCAUACACAGAUUAUGCACUGGACAUGGGCAUAAUUCAGAAGACUGACUAUGAUCGCAUCAACAAAUUGAUGGUCCCGGCCUGCGAAUUGGCAAUAAAAUUAUGUGGUAUUUCGCAUGUGAUUUUGUUGCAUGCUCUGCUUUCAGUGGAUUUUGUGUUUCUUAUAUUUCGUAAUUAGAAGCUAAGGCUAUAAUUGAAUUAAACAGAGAGAAAUGCCAUAAGUAUUCUUGUGUUUAUUUUAAUGAAUACUAAAGACUUCCGUAAAUCAGUUAUAUAAUAUUGUGCUUUAGAAUUGUCUAUUGUCCCCAACUUAUCCUACAAUAAUGUAAACUGGAUAUUCAUAUUAUUUUCAGAAGUAUGUAAUAACUAUCCUGACAAUAAAUGCAUAUUACUUUUUUCCAAAAUGACCUAGUGGGAUAAAGGCUUUGUUGUUGUUUGCUUAAGUGCAUACUACUUUUUUAUUAUGAAUUCUUAGAAGGAAGUUCUCCAAUCAUAUUUAGAGUUUUACGUUGAUAAUGUGCAAUGGAUUUAAUGGGAGACCGACAGCCACAGUACUUAUGUCACUUUAAGUAGGUUUUAUCCUUGUAUGAAAUACUUUUAAAAUUCAACAUAUAAUCGUGGAUUUUAACUUUCAGCAAUCAUGUGGCAUUUAAGCAAGUUUUAUAAUCCUGAUCAAUGAACCAAGAAUUAACUGGUUCUCACUUGCUUAAAAAAUCCUUUCAGGUACUGAUGGAACAAUUGCGUGCACGGCUUCAUAUUUUGUUUGUAAUACGAUAUUCAAUUCCAUCUUGUCACAUACUGACAAUAUCAAUGUGGGUAACAAAGUUUCUUCCUCUUCUGCGAGUUUUAGAUGUUUGUUGUAGUACCCUAGUUUACUUGUUUGCGGAAUAUAAUUAACUCUACUGAAUUAUUUGGGAGCCCCUUAAGCAUGAAACAUGGUCAAAAUACAGGCCUUUUUGUUGAUAGAUAUUCUGAUACCAUGUUAAUAUAUGUCUCAAUCUAAAAAGUCUGUUGUCAAGUUCGAAGUGAAGAUGGAUUUUGAUUUUCUUGAGCGAAUUUCAUAAAUUUAACUUGCGAGUUUUUUCUUCCAAGAAUAACUUCCGAAAAAAUAAAUUAACAUCAACAUGUUAUAUGAUCGAAGUAACCAGUUUAUGUGAUGGUAGCACAUAAUUAUGUCUGACGUAUUUUCUCUAAAAAUGAACAGGCAUCUGGUUAAUCGACUUGCCUAACCAACUCUGUAAUUCAUCGUUGAUUACUUUCUCAGUGGAGUAUAUUUUGGACAAGAAAUUUUAAGCUUUUACUGUGCUGGUUAGCAAGAAGAUUUUGAUAUAUUGACAUCUAUGGAGAUUGUGCCAAGUCUUGAAAGUUUUGACCAGCUACUGUAUUCUUGUAUUGCAGUAUUAUGACAUCAGGAAGAAGUGUGAGGGUAGCCUCUGCUAUGAUUUUUCGAACAUGGAAAAAUUCUUGAGCAUAAAAUCUGUUCGGGAUGCACUAGGAGUUGGAGAUAUUGCUUUUGUGUCUUGUAGUUCCAC
rnacentral:lncRNA from 1 species